rnacentral:rRNA from 1 species
ACCUCGCGCCAUUAGAUGAGCCUAGGUCGGAUUAGCUAGUUGGUGAGUAAUGGCUCACCAAGGCGACGAUCCGUAACUGGUCUGANAGGAUGAUCAGUCACACUGGAACUGAGACACGGUCCAGACUCCUACGGGAGGCAGCAGUGGGGAAUAUUGGACAAUGGGCGAAAGCCUGAUCCAGCCAUGCCGCGUGUGUGAAGAAGGUCUUCGGAUUGUAAAGCACUUUAAGUUGGGAGGAAGGGUAGUAACCUAAUACGUUGCUACUUUGACGUUACCGACAGAAUAAGCACCGGCUAACUUCGUG